rnacentral:miRNA from 1 species
UUGGAUGAACGGUGCGUUUACUU